CGUACACUCCUGCGGGAGGCAGCAGUAGGGAAUCUUCGGCAAUGGGGGCAACCCUGACCGAGCAACGCCGCGUGAGUGAAGAAGGUUUUCGGAUCGUAAAGCUCUGUUGUAAGUCAAGAACGAGUGUGAGAGUGGAAAGUUCACACUGUGACGGUAGCUUACCAGAAAGGGACGGCUAACUACGUGCCAGCAGCCGCGGUAAUACGUAGGUCCCGAGCGUUGUCCGGAUUUAUUGGGCGUAAAGCGAGCGCAGGCGGUUUGAUAAGUCUGAAGUUAAAGGCUGUGGCUCAACCAUAGUUCGCUUUGGAAACUGUCAAACUUGAGUGCAGAAGGGGAGAGUGGAAUUCCAUGUGUAGCGGUGAAAUGCGUAGAUAUAUGGAGGAACACCGGUGGCGAAAGCGGCUCUCUGGUCUGUAACUGACGCUGAGGCUCGAAAGCGUGGGGAGCGAACAGGAUUAGAAACCCGAGUAGUCCC
rnacentral:rRNA from 1 species